GAUGAACGCUGGCGGCGUGCCUAAUACAUGCAAGUCGAGCGAACAGAUGAGGAGCUUGCUCCUCUGACGUUAGCGGCGGACGGGUGAGUAACACGUGGAUAACCUACCUAUAAGACUGGGAUAACUUCGGGAAACCGGAGCUAAUACCGGAUAAUAUAUUGAACCGCAUGGUUCAAUAGUGAAAGACGGUUUUGCUGUCACUUAUAGAUGGAUCCGCGCCGCAUUAGCUAGUUGGUAAGGUAACGGCUUACCAAGGCAACGAUGCGUAGCAGACCUGAGAGGGUGAUCGGCCACACUGGAACUGAGACACGGUCCAGAGUCCUACGGGAGGCAGCAGUAGGGAAUCUUCCGCAAUGGGCGAAAGCCUGACGGAGCAACGCCGCGUGAGUGAUGAAGGUCUUCGGAUCGUAAAACUCUGUUAUUAGGGAAGAACAAAUGUGUAAGUAACUAUGCACGUCUUGACGGUACCUAAUCAGAAAGCCACGGCUAACUACGUG
rnacentral:rRNA from 1 species